GUUCUUCAUCUAAUGAAGUACAUAUACUAAAAUUGGAACGAUACUGAGAAGAUUAGCAUGGCCCCUGCGAAAGGAUGACACGCAAAUUCGUGAAGCGUUCCAUAUUUUU
rnacentral:snRNA from 1 species